GUGGUUUGGUGACUCUCGAACCAUGAUUCGGCAGACCUGUGAGGCUGUGAGUUCCCUAUCAGAACACUAUCUGCAUUCCUGCCCACUGGAGAGAUUGUGACCCAUUGCUGAGCCUGGCAGCAAGGUGAUGUCACUCUCCGUUGUAUUGUGCCAUAUACCUGGGACCAAAUUACAAGCACAAUGAUGAAUUUUUUACCUGGAGUCAAGACAUGUGCAGGAUGGUGGAACUUAUCACUGGACCUUUCCACAGUGUUAUUAGGACAUAUACCUUUGUCCAACAUGUGAGUAAUUUGACUCUCCA
rnacentral:lncRNA from 1 species